GACGAACGCUGGCGGCGUGCUUAACACAUGCAAGUCGAACGGCAAGGCCCUGCUUUUGUGGGCUGCUCAGUUAGCGGAGGGAUGAGUAACACUUCAGUGGCCUAGCCUUGACUUUGGGGUAUCAUUAGGGAACUCGGGCUACUACCGGAUGGGUGCUCCUGCUGCAAGUUGGGGGUUGGGAAGUUUCGGCGGUGGGGGAUGGACUCGCGGCUUAUCGGCUUGUUAGUGGGGUAGUGGCAUACCAAGGCUUUGCAGGGUAGCCGGGCUGAGAGGGUGACCGGCCACAUUGGGACGGAGAUACGGCACAGCCUACUCCGGGAGGCAGGAGUGGGGAAUAGUGCAUAAUGGGCGGAAGCCUGAUGCAGCAACGCCGCGUGGGGGAAGACGGCAUGCGGGUUGUAAACUGCUUUUGCCUGUGACGAAGCGUGAGUGACGGUAAUGGGUAAAGAAGCCCCGGCUAACUACGUG
rnacentral:rRNA from 1 species